AUGCAGAUAGCUCAGUUUGUUAUUGAGCAUGGGGCUGAUAACGCCAAGGCUGCAGGUUUAAUCCCUGUAUGGGAUAGCUGCAUA